rnacentral:rRNA from 1 species
UACGUAGGGGGCAAGCGUUGUCCGGAAUCAUUGGGCGUAAAGAGCGUGUAGGCGGCCCGGUAAGUCCGCUGUGAAAGUCCAGGGCUCAACCCUGGGAUGCCGGUGGAUACUGUCGGGCUCGAGUCCGGAAGAGGAGAGUGGAAUUCCUGGUGUAGCGGUGAAAUGCGCAGAUAUCAGGAAGAACACCAAUGGCGAAAGCAGCUCUCUGGGACGGUACUGACGCUGAGACGCGAAAGCGUGGGGAGCGAACAGG